UGCCCAGCAACUCCUAUCCCUACCUCCACGCAGUACCGGCCGGAAACUAUGAGCAACCUAGCUAUGAGAUCGGGUAACCAACCCCGGUGGAAACUUUGGUCGUAGGCUGACAGGGAAGG
rnacentral:ribozyme from 1 species